rnacentral:misc_RNA from 1 species
GAUGAAGAACGCAGCGAAAUGCGAUAAGUAAUGUGAAUUGCAGAAUUCAGUGAAUCAUCGAAUCUUUGAACGCACAUUGCGCCCGCCAGUACUCUGGCGGGCAUGCCUGUUCGAGCGUCAUUUCAACCAUCAAGCCCCAGGCUUGCGUUGGGGGCCUGCGGCUGCCGCAGCCCCUUAAAAACAGUGGCGGUCUCGCUGUAGUCCUCCUCUGCGCAGUAGCAACGCUCGCACUGGAACUCGGCGCGGCCACGCCGUAAAACACCCCACUUCUGAAAGUUGACCUCGGAUCAGGUAGGAAUACCCGCUGAACUUAAGCAUAUCAAUAAGCGGAGGA